UUUUUAUUGGAUGAUAACUGUCACGUGUCAUGUUCUGAUUGGAUGUCAACUCCAUGAAAGACAAAAUGCAUUGUUAGUUUCAUUAACCAAUCAGAAUAUGACGUGUGACAGUCAUCAUCU
rfam:Glycine soja cultivar W05 scaffold62_19, whole genome shotgun sequence.